GUGAACCUACGGGGGGCAGCAGUGGGGGAUAUUGCACAAUGGGGGAAACCCUGAUGCAGCAACGCCGCGUGAGUGAUGACGGCCUUCGGGUUGUAAAGCUCUGUCUUCAGGGACGAUAAUGACGGUACCUGAGGAGGAAGCCACGGCUAACUACGUGCCAGCAGCCGCGGUAAUACGUAGGUGGCGAGCGUUGUCCGGAUUUACUGGGUGUAAAGGGAGCGCAGGCGGCACGGCAAGCCUGAUGUGAAAGCCCGCGGCCCAACCGCGGGACUGCAUUGGGAACUACCGGGCUGGAGUGCCGGAGG
rnacentral:rRNA from 1 species